UUUCUUUUCUAUUACAUGCAUUUUAAAGAGGGGCUUAUAUUUUCAUUUAGUUGUUUGCUUCAUUGAGGACUUUCAUAGUGUUUGUUUAAAGUUGCAAUCAACUAAGUAUGCAGAGGCCCAAAGGUUCUAUCAAUUGGUCUUCCUUGGACAUUUUUAAUGGCCUUUUGAGUAUUUUGGGAACUAACAAAAUCAUUACUGUUAUUUAGUUAUUUAAGUGAUAACUUGAGGUUUUUUUCUUCUGGCCAUGCAGUUUGUUCAUUAAAUGGUAAAUAGACAUAUGAUGGUUGGUCAUAAACAACUUUAUUUCUGGGUCUAAUGUCAAUUAUUUUGCUUCUGAGCUGAAAUAUUCUCAGAGCUGAAAUAUGCCUGAGAAAUGAGGGUUUAUAUUAAUAAUUUGGGUUUCAUAAAAUGUAAUAAUGCUAGCGUACCAUCUACUGAAUGUGAAGUUUAUGAAUAUGUUAACACCAUGCAACCUUAGAUAUAGUAAAUGCUUUCAUUCACUAAAAGAAGAAUAGAGGGGAAAGUAGAGAGUUUCAGCAUUUGUGACAAAAAAUUGUUGAAUGGGCUAGCUUGCUAUGUGAUGGGAUUUAGGCUUCCAGUUUUAUCAAUUUAAGCUUCAUAGCAUUUUAUGUAGAAGUCCAUCCAGUGAGGUUGGAACUUGGAAAUUUCCUGUGUUAGACGGCAUUUGUGUAUAGCCCUAUAAGUAAAGCUAACUGCUGAAAGUUGGUUGAUUUUGAGACGUCAAGUGGAGAACUCCAAGGAUUCUUUAAGUGUGCUGAUAUGGAGAACGUCUUGGCUUUGUCGAUACUGGAUAGAACUUAUUGCUUCCCAUGCUCAUUCUUGACUGAUUUGUGAGAAAAGCUGCUUGAUUUCAGCAACAGGCAUCUAGGAUGUUUGGUUUGAGCCAUUUGUCCUUGCUCUUUCAGAAUCCUUGGAUGUUGUUAAGGAGCAAGAUAGGAUGGUAGUGAGGCACUGCCAGUCAAUUAUGAUGCUACUUGCUUUUAAUGGAGAGGUCCAUGAUGGAGAAGGUCUAAAUGGCAGUGUAGAUUGGGAAAUCAGAUAGAGAGAUAAAGCUAUGUGGUCUGCAUUAUGUUGCAGAUCAGCUUUUUAAGUUCUGUAAAGAACUUUGUAAAAAGUGUGUAUUAUUUUGUCUUGCAUGGUUUUAUACAGCAAUUUCUUGUAGGUAGCUAAACGUUGAUCUUAAUGAUCCAUCCAUCCAUCUCGCUCUCCCCCCUCCCCCUUUCCCCCUCAUCUCUCGCUCUCUCUUUCUGACGCAUUUGAUGUAUGUGUAUUUUUUUUUAAUCUUUUUUGAAGUAAUUUUUUGUUAGUAAAACAUUUGCAAAUGCAGUCUACUUCACUAACAAAUUGCAAAUGCAUUCUACUUUUUUGAAGUAGAAGUCAGGUUGCAGUAAAACAGGAUGCUUUGCUUGAUUAAAGAUAUACUUUGUUGUUUUUAACUCUUCACUCGUCUUAUCUAAUAAACUGAUGAUAUAGUCCUGUAAAUAUGAAUAGACCUGUCAAUUGGACAGGUCAAAGUUGGGUUGGGUCAAUUCAGGUUUUAAAAUUUUUGACACUCGGGCUUGGGCCAUUUUGGGUUACUUGUUCGGGUCAUUUCUAGUUAUGGUUGUUUUUGGGUUUGGGUUGGGUGGUUGCCUUUUUGUGGUCAAAUCAGGUUGGCUGUAGUUCAAGUUCAGUUAAUCAGGUUGGGUUUUUGGUUUGGGUUAGAAUUGAUAGGUUUAAAUAUACCCUCAAUAUACUGUUGAACUUGGGUGAAAAACAUAGAGUAUGUUAAGUCACUGUUUGACCUAUGUAGAAGGUGUGCUUAGGUUUUGAAACACAAUUUCGUACUUUAUUUCCAGCGACACUAGAAAAAUCGGUUUGAGAUACAUUAGGUCGGAACUGGAUAUUACUUUUUAUGUUCUUGAUUUUGAUUUUAUUCUCUCUGAUCUGAUUGGAUUCGGGUUGUUUUCCUCUAAUGGCUUUGAGAGCAUCAAUCAUCAUGAACAUCUAGAUUAAUAUUUAUUCAAAUCAGUAUCUCCUUUUUAAAAUUUAUUACCAUUGAUGAACAAUGAAUCUU